GGGGUUGUACUGGUUUCGACGGGGUUUUUGAAGUUAUGGAAGCCAUCCGUGGACUAGGACCACGUAAAAACUUAGAAAAUAAAUAUAAACGCUAACGAAAAUUUAGCUUACGCUGCCUAGUUGCAGCUGUCAGCCUUAAGUCACCUGCUGCUUAAGAAUCUGGCAUCGACUUUGCAGGGAACUUCUUCGUCAAAGCUUUGAGACGUUGGAAGAAUUAUGAAGCUACCAAUUUUGCAGGUUUGUCAAUGAACCUGUGAUUGAGGGAAUAAUUAAUCAUUGACUGUGAUGGGAGAUGCCGUAAUGAAUGGAAUUUCGGACAGGGGUUCGAUUCCCCUCAGCUCCAUUG
rnacentral:tmRNA from 1 species